CUGGGCACCUUGGAGAACAGAGAGCUGAGGAACCAGGUCUCUGCCCUCCCAGAGCGCCGGCUGAGCUGGUUCCAGGGGGCAGUGGGACAGGUCCCUGACAGCCAGCAGCUGCCCUUGGACGUGUCUGGGAUGGGAAGAGGCAACCCUAACCCUCAGAGAGAAGCUGUCCCCAGUCUGGAAAUGAGCGAAGCAGACAGCAGUCACCGAUAGGUCAGAUCCUGUCUUCAAAUACAGUCACAUUCUGAGGUACUGGGGGUAGGACUUCAACAUAAGAAUUUGGGAAGACACAAUUCAGCCCAUGACACUUGGUGAUUUUUUAAACCUAUGAUGUAAGUGCAAACGGUGUGCUGGCUUU